AACCAUGCAAUGAGCACACAUCGAAUUAUUCUUUUGCCUUUUACUAAAGAAUACCGUGUGCUUGUUAGAAAUAGUGGCAUACCCCAUUUUUUGGAGAAGACCUUUCUGGUAGGGGUU
rnacentral:snRNA from 1 species